rnacentral:misc_RNA from 1 species
GAUGAAGAACGUAGCGAAAUGCGAUAAGUAAUGUGAAUUGCAGAAUUCAGUGAAUCAUCGAAUCUUUGAACGCACAUUGCGCCCGUCAGUAUUCUGGCGGGCAUGCCUGUUCGAGCGUCAUUACAACCCUCAGGCCCCCGGGCCUGGCGUUGGGGAUCGGCGGAAGCCCCCUGUGGGCACACGCCGUCCCUCAAAUACAGUGGCGGUCCCGCCGCAGCUUCCAUUGCGUAGUAGCUAACACCUCGCAACUGGAGAGCGGCGCGGCCAUGCCGUAAAACACCCAACUUCUGAAUGUUGACCUCGAAUCAGGUAGGAAUACCCGCUGAACUUAAGCAUAUCAAUAAGCGGAGGA